rnacentral:rRNA from 1 species
AUUGAACGCUGGCGGCAGGCCUAACACAUGCCAGUCGAGCGGAGCGGCGGACGGGUGAGUAAUGCCUAGGAAUCUGCCUGGUAGUGGGGGAUAACGUCCGGAAACGGGCGCUAAUACCGCAUACUAUCAGAUGAGCCUAGUUCGGAUUAGCUAGUUGGUGGGGUAAAGGCCUACCAAGGCGACGAGCCGUAACUGGUCUGAGAGGAUGAUCAGUCACACUUGAACGGGGACACGGUCCAGACUCCUACGGGAUGCAGCAGUGGGGAAUAUUGGAAAAGGGGCGAAAGCCUGAUCCAGCCAUGCCGCGUGUGUGAAGAAGUUCUUCGGAUUGUAAAGCACGUUAAGUUGGGAGGCGUUACCAACAGAAUAAGCACCGGCUAACUUCGUGCCAGCAGCCGCGGUAAUAC